rnacentral:rRNA from 1 species
AACGAACGCUGGCGGCAUGCCUAACACAUGCAAGUCGAACGGGACCUUCGGGAUCAGUGGCGCACGGGUGCGUCACGCGUGGGAAGAUGCCCUUAUGUACGGAAUACUACUUUGAAAGGGGGGGUAAUACCGGAUAAUUCCUUCGGAUACAAGAUUUAUCGUGCUAGGAUAAGCCGGCGUUGGAUUAGGUAGUUGGUAGGGUAAGAGCCUACCAAGGCGACGAUCCAUAGCUGGUUUGAGAGGAUGAUCAGCCACACUGGGACUGAGACACGGCCCAGACUCCUACGGGAGGCAGCAGUGGGGAAUAUUGGACAAUGGGCGAAAGCCUGAUCCAGCAAUGCCGCGUGAGUGAUGAAGGCCUUAGGGUUGUAAAGCUCUUUUACCCGGGAAGAUAAUGACAGUACCUGGAGAAGAAGCCCCGGCUAACUCCGUG